AAAAAAAAAAGAAAGUAACUGGCAGAGUGCCUAGCUACUGCAUGUGUUCAGUACAUACAUGUUAGUUUUCCUUCAUUUCCCCUUUCCUCAUAAUUUUUUCUAGCCAGUCUUUUUUCUUUCUUUCCCCUCUCUAAUCCAUCCACAACAUUAACACUGAAUUAAACUUCUCACAGCACUGAUCAAUCAUUAAAUCAGUACCCAACUCACGUGAACUGAGUGUUCAUCAUGUGAAUUCAUCACAAUUGAAAUAUUCAUUAUUUUUCUGAUAGGGGUUGCCGAGUUAGGACACCAGGUAGGCCUUACGAGCUACAGUCUUGUAGUGGAGGUUUUGGUCAUCACCUGCUGAAACAUCCUUCCAUCUAUCCACUGCUCAUUGCCCCACUCAAGGGAAGGCCAUUCUCCUAGCACGGUGCCCAAGCCCCUGCUCGGUACGGUCCUAACCAGCCUCCCCUCCAUGUUCCCUCGUGCUGGCCAAACUAAACAGCUCCUCAGUCUCUGAACUCUCGGUCUUCCAUGGCAUUUCUUGCUUGUCUCCUCUGCUUGGAAUGCCUUCUCCCCUUCUCUCUUGGCAACCGCGCCAUCUCGGUGAGGCCCCAUGCAGCCCCACUGAUGAAUGUGCUUUCCUUCUCCUUGCCCUUGUUCGUACGCUUCUUAGGGGAUUUCCAUGUUCCAGGAGGGUUUAUGGCUAUUUCUGUAUGUCCUGGUCCUCCUAACUAGACUGUGAUCUCCCCCAGGAAAAUGCAUUUUCCUCCAAACUCAGCAUGCCAUAUGAGGGCCUCAUACAUGCAGUUAGUCCGUGAUACAUUCGUCACAAACACAUAAAAUUUUUGUUGAGCUUAUUAAGCAAGAUCCUACAUCUGAAAGCAGCUGUUGUAAAAUGAACAACUACUUAUUAGCAACAGCACCAAAAACACCAACACAUUUUGUGUGGGCUGCUGAACAGUCAUGCCCCACGCCUUCUGUUCUUAGUGAAAGUCAAAUGCAGACACUUCCUGUCAUGCCUGCUAUGAGUGAUUCCUG
rnacentral:lncRNA from 1 species